rnacentral:snRNA from 1 species
ACAAGGAUUUUAAAAGCUUAUAA